rnacentral:rRNA from 1 species
CCUACGGGUGGCAGCAGUGAGGAAUAUUGGUCAAUGGACGAGAGUCUGAACCAGCCAAGUAGCGUGAAGGAUGACUGCCCUAUGGGUUGUAAACUUCUUUUAUAAAGGAAUAAAACGAGGUACGUGUGCCUUUUUGCAUGUACUUUAUGAAUAAGGAUCGGCUAACUCCGUGCCAGCAGCCGCGGUAAUACGGAGGAUCCGAGCGUUAUCCGGAUUUAUUUGGUUUAAAGGGAGCGUAGAUGGGUUGUUAAGUCAGUUGUGAAAGUUUGCGGCUCAACCGUAAAAUUGCAAUUGAUACUGGCAGUCUUGAGUACAGGUGAGGUAGGCGGAAUUCGUGGUGUAGCGGUGAAAUGCUUAGAUAUCACGAAGAACCCCGAUUGCGAAGGCAGCUUACUAAACUGUGACUGACAUUGAUGCUCGAAAGUGUGGGUAUCAAACAGGAUUAGAUACCCUUGUAGUC